rnacentral:rRNA from 1 species
AGAGGGUGCGAACGUUGCUCGGAUUUACUGGGGCGUAAAGCGCGUGUAGGCGGACUCGCAAGUCGGGUUGUGAAAUCCCUGGGGCUCAACCUAGGGAACUGCAUCCGAAACUGCUUGUCUUGAGUAAUGGAGAGGGUGGCGGAAUUCCCGGUGUAGAGGUGAAAUUCGUAGAUAUCGGGAGGAACAUCAGUGGCGAAGGCGGCCACCUGGACAUUCACUGACGCUGAGACGCGAAAGCGUGGGGAGCAAACAGGAUUAGAUACCCUGGUAGUCCACGCCGUAAACGAUGAGCACUAGGUGCAGCGGAUAUUGACCUCGGCUGUGCCGUAGCUAACGCGUUAAGUGCUCCGCCUGGGGAGUACGGCCGCAAGGCUA